GACGAACGCUGGCGGCGCGCCUAACACAUGCAAGUCGAACGAGAGAGAAGGAGCUUGCUUCUUCGAUCGAGUGGCGAACGGGUGAGUAACGCGUGAGGAACCUGCCUCAAAGAGGGGGACAACAGUUGGAAACGACUGCUAAUACCGCAUAAGCCCACGGGUCGGCAUCGACCAGAGGGAAAAGGAGCAAUCCGCUUUGAGAUGGCCUCGCGUCCGAUUAGCUAGUUGGUGAGGUAAUGGCCCACCAAGGCGACGAUCGGUAGCCGGACUGAGAGGUUGAACGGCCACAUUGGGACUGAGACACGGCCCAGACUCCUACGGGAGGCAGCAGUGGGGAAUAUUGCACAAUGGGGGAAACCCUGAUGCAGCGACGCCGCGUGGAGGAAGAAGGUCUUCGGAUUGUAAACUCCUGUUGUUGAGGAAG
rnacentral:rRNA from 1 species